rnacentral:rRNA from 1 species
AGUGAACGCUGGCGGUAGGCCUAACACAUGCAAGUCGAACGGCAGCACAGUAAGAGCUUGCUCUUACGGGUGGCGAGUGGCGGACGGGUGAGGAAUACAUCGGAAUCUACUUUUUCGUGGGGGAUAACGUAGGGAAACUUACGCUAAUACCGCAUACGACCUACGGGUGAAAGCAGGGGAUCUUCGGACCUUACGCGAUUGAAUGAGCCGAUGUCGGAUUAGCUAGUUGGCGGGGUAAAGGCCCACCAAGGCGACGAUCCGUAGCUGGUCUGAGAGGAUGAUCAGCCACACUGGAACUGAGACACGGUCCAGACUCCUACGGGAGGCAGCAGUGGGGAAUAUUGGACAAUGGGCGCAAGCCUGAUCCAGCCAUACCGCGUGGGUGAAGAAGGCCUUCGGGUUGUAAAGCCCUUUUGUUGGGAAAGAAAAGCAGCAGGUUAAUACCCCGCUGUUCUGACGGUACCCAAAGAAUAAGCACCGGCUAACUUCGCG